rnacentral:rRNA from 1 species
CCUACGGGAGGCAGCAGUGAGGAAUAUUGGUCAAUGGGCGGAAGCCUGAACCAGCCAAGCAGCGUGCAGGAUGACGGCCCUACGGGUUGUAAACUGCUUUUAUACGGGAAUAACGCGCCUUACGUGUAGGGCUUUGCAUGUACCGUAUGAAUAAGGACCGGCUAAUUCCGUUCCAGCAGCCGCGGUAAUACGGAAGGGCCGGGCGUUAUCCGGAUUUAUUGGGUUUUAAGGGAGCGUAGGCCGCAUGUCAAGUGUGUGGUUAAAUGUCCGGGCUCAACCCGGGCCUUGCAGCGCGAACUGGCGUGCUUGAGUCCGCGGAAAGCAGGCGGAAUUCGUCGUGUAGCGGUGAAAUGCUUAGAUAUGACGAAGAACCCCGAUUGCGAAGGCAGCUUGAUGCAGCGGAACUGACGCUGAUGCUCGAAAGCGCGGGUAUCGAACAGGAUUAGAUACCCUAGUAGUC